UAGGGAAUCUUCGGCAAUGGGGGGAACCCUGACCGAGCAACGCCGCGUGAGUGAAGAAGGUUUUCGGAUCGUAAAGCUCUGUUGUUAAGGAAGAACGAGUGUGAGAAUGGAAAGUUCAUGCUGUGACGGUACUUAACCAGAAAGGGACGGCUAACUACGUGCCAGCAGCCGCGGUAAUACGUAGGUCCCGAGCGUUGUCCGGAUUUAUUGGGCGUAAAGCGAGCGCAGGCGGUUAGAAAAGUCUGAAGUGAAAGGCAGUGGCUCAACCAUUGUAGGCUUUGGAAACUGUUUACCUUGAGUGCAGAAGGGGAGAGUGGAAUUCCAUGUGUAGCGGUGAAAUGCGUAGAUAUAUGGAGGAACACCGGUGGCGAAAGCGGCUCUCUGGUCUGUAACUGACGCUGAGGCUCGAAAGCGUGGGGAGCGAACAGG
rnacentral:rRNA from 1 species